AUACUUACCUGGCAGGGGAGAUACCAUGAUCACGAAGGUGGUUUUCCCAGGGCGAGGCUUAUCCAUUGCACUCCGGAUGUGCUGACCCCGAUUUCCCCAAAUGUGGGAAACUCGACUGCAUAAUUUGUGGUAGUGGGGGACUGCGUUCGCGCUCUCCCCUG
rnacentral:snRNA from 1 species